rnacentral:rRNA from 1 species
UGGGGAAUAUUGGACAAUGGGCGAAAGCCUGAUCCAGCCAUGCCGCGUGUGUGAAGAAGGUCUUCGGAUUGUAAAGCACUUUAAGUUGGGAGGAAGGGCAGUAAGCGAAUACCUUGCUGUUUUGACGUUACCGACAGAAUAAGCACCGGCUAACUCUGUGCCAGCAGCCGCGGUAAUACAGAGGGUGCAAGCGUUAAUCGGAAUUACUGGGCGUAAAGCGCGCGUAGGUGGUUCGUUAAGUUGAAUGUGAAAGCCCCGGGCUCAACCUGGGAACUGCAUCCAAAACUGGCGAGCUAGAGUAGGGCGGAGCGUGGUGGAAUUUCCUGUGUAACGGUGAAAUGCGUAGAUAUAGGAAGGAACACCUGUGGCGAAGGCGACCACCUUGGCUCAUACUAACACUGAGGUGCGAAAGCGUGGGGAGCAAGCAGG